rnacentral:rRNA from 1 species
UUUAAAAUCUGGCAGUUUCACUGUCCGAGUUGUAAUUUAGAGAAGUGUUACCCGCGUUGGACCGUGUAUAAGUCUCCUGGAAUGGAGCGUCAUAGAGGGUGAGAAUCCCGUCUUUGACACGGACUACCAAGGCAUUGUGGUAUGCUCUCGAAGAGUCGAGUUGUUUGGGAAUGCAGCUCUAAAUGGGUGGUAAAUUCCAUCUAAAGCUAAAUAUUGGCGAGAGACCGAUAGCGAACAAGUACCGUGAGGGAAAGAUGAAAAGAACUUUGGAAAGAGAGUUAAACAGUACGUGAAAUUGCUGAAAGGGAAACGCUUGAAGUCAGUCGCGUUGGCCGGGGAUCAGCCUUGCUUUUGUGAGGUGUACUUCCUGGUUGACGGGUCAGCAUCAGUUUCGACCACUGGAAAAAGGCUUUGGGAAUGUGGCACCUUCGGGUGUGUUAUAGCCCAUUGUCGUAUACAGUGGCUGGGACUGAGGAACUCAGCACGCCGCAAGGCCGGGUUUCGACCACGUUCGUGCUUAGGAUGCUGGCAAAAUGGCUUUAAUCGACCCGUCUUGAAACACGGACCAAGGAGUCUAACAUGCCUGCGAGUGUUUGGGUGGAAAACCCGAGCGCGUAAUGAAAGUGAAAGUUGGGAUCUCUGUCGUGGAGAGCACCGACGCCCGGACCUGAUGUUUACUGACGGAUCUGCGGUAGAGCAUGUAUGUUGGGACCCGAAAGAUGGUGAACUAUGCCUGAAUAGGGCGAAGCCAGAGGAAACUCUGGUGGAGRCUCGUAGCGAUUCUGACGUGCAAAUCGAUCGUCGAAUUUGGGUAUAGGGCGAAAGACUAUCGA